GCGCCCUGUCCUCGUCGUCCCCGCCGCCCCGAUCGCCGCGCUUCGCCCGUUCCGGGCCGCGCCCAGGAGCUGCUGCCGCACCGCUGCUGAGACGCCGCCGCCAGCUUCAUCGCAGCGCGCGGCUCAGCCCAGCGUCCGCGCAGCCUUCGCCAGCCUCCGCCAGCCUCGUCUCGCCAACCCCUUCUCUGCCUCUUCCCCUCUCCCCCCGCCUGAUCCCCUCAAGCCUCAUCCUCUCGCAUCUUGAUCUCCCCAAGCCGGAUCCCCGCAAGCUUGAUCCCUUUCAAACCUGAUUCCCCUCUCAGCUUGAUCCCUCCAGCCUGAUCCCCAAAACUUGAUCCCCGUAACUUGUUCCCUCAAGGCCUGAUAUUCCAGGUUGACUCUCUUUUCAAGCCUGAUACCCCAAAGCUUGAUAUCCCCAGCAUGAAGCUCUUCAAAUGACCCUACCAGCCUGACUCCUCCAAGCCUGAUAACCCCCGCCCCUAGUUUGAUUCUCCCCAAGCCUGAUCCCUUACUCAGCCCUUCUGCCUCAGUUUCCACAUUGUUCCAUGCCGAUCUUGAUACUCUCCCAGACUCAAGUUAUAUCCCCUGUCUCACCCCUUCCUCCCCCUGAUUAGCUUGAACCCCCCCAGUCCUCAGCUUCGAGUUUCAAUCCCUGCAUCUUCAGCUCCACCCUCAGGGUCCAGGCUUUAGGCCCGCCCCAUCCCCUCCCUAUCCACGCUAUAGUCCAGCCUUCUAUCCCAGUGGCCUCUUGCUGCCUCCCACCCAGGCUCCCUUGGGAACCCCCUGGGCAGUCACCAACCUGCUUUCGAGGAGCUGGGACUGGUGCCCAGGAGGUGUGGACCACAGUCGCCAGUUCCCGGCUGGGUCCUGGGGAGACCAGGCACUGAGAGACACGUCUCUUCCAAGUGCAACCCAGGGCAUGCUGGCAGCCCCGAGGGGCUGGGAGGCUCAGUUAGAGUCUAACCAGGUAGAUAGGGUUAGACCGCACAGGCGGAGACUCCCUCCCGCAUGGAAAGUUCGUGCCCCGCGCCUGCAGCUGCCAUGGAAGCUACUGGGACCCUUUAGAAGCUUCUCGCUGCCGUCACAGGAGUCCCCGAGGAUGUCCGGCGGGGUCUCCCCAGCUGAGCAGGUGGCGGCAGGCGACAUGGACGACGAGGCGGCGCGCUUCUGUGUACAGAAGCACUCCUGGGACGGGCUGCGCAGCAUCAUCCACGGCAGCCGCAAGUCAUCGGGCCUCAUUAUCAGCAAGGCCCCCCAUGACUUCCAGUUCGUGCAGAAGCCUGAUGAGUCUGGCCCCCACUCCCACCGCCUCUACUACCUGGGAAUGCCGUAUGGCAGCCGUGAGAACUCCCUCCUCUACUCCGAGAUCCCCAAGAAGGUGCGGAAGGAGGCCCUCCUGCUGCUGUCCUGGAAGCAGAUGCUGGACCACUUCCAGGCCACGCCCCACCAUGGCGUCUACUCUCGAGAGGAGGAGCUGCUGCGGGAACGCAAGCGCCUGGGCGUCUUUGGCAUCACCUCCUACGACUUCCACAGUGAGAGCGGCCUCUUCCUCUUCCAGGCCAGCAAUAGCCUGUUCCACUGCAGGGACGGCGGCAAGAAUGGCUUCAUGGUGUCCCCUAUGAAGCCACUGGAGAUCAAGACCCAGUGCUCCGGGCCGCGCAUGGAUCCCAAGAUCUGUCCUGCAGACCCUGCCUUCUUCUCCUUCAUCAACAACAAUGACCUGUGGGUGGCCAACAUCGAGACUGGAGAGGAGCGGCGGCUCACCUUCUGCCACCAGGGCUCAGCCAAUGUCCUGGACGAUCCCAAGUCUGCAGGUGUGGCCACCUUCGUCAUCCAGGAGGAGUUUGACCGCUUCACUGCAUGCUGGUGGUGCCCCACAGCCUCUUGGGAAGGCUCCGAAGGCCUCAAGACGCUGCGCAUCCUGUAUGAAGAGGUGGACGAGUCUGAGGUGGAGGUCAUCCAUGUGCCCUCCCCUGCCUUGGAGGAGAGGAAGACUGAUUCGUACCGCUACCCCAGGACAGGCAGCAAGAAUCCGAAGAUCGCCCUGAAGCUGGCUGAGAUCCAGACAGAUGAGCAGGGCAAGAUCGUGUCGAGCUGCGAGAAGGAGCUGGUGCAGCCGUUCAGUUCCCUCUUCCCCAAGGUGGAGUACAUCGCCCGGGCUGGCUGGACACGAGAUGGCAGAUACGCCUGGGCCAUGUUCCUGGACCGUCCCCAGCAGCGACUCCAGCUUGUCCUCCUACCGCCAGCCCUCUUCAUCCCGUCCCCGGAGACCGAGGCCCAGCGGAAGGCAGCUGCCAGAGCCGUCCCCAGGAAUGUGCAGCCCUUCGUCAUUUAUGAAGAAGUCACCAACGUCUGGAUCAAUGUCCAUGACAUCUUCCACCCGUUCCCGCAGGCCGAGGGCCAGCAGGAUUUCUCCUUCCUCCGUGCCAACGAGUGUAAGACUGGCUUCUGCCACCUGUACAAGGUCACUGUGGACCUGAAAACUGGCAACUAUGACUGGACAGAACCCCUCAGCCCCACAGAAGACGAGUUCAAGUGCCCCGUCAAGGAGGAGGUUGCACUGACCAGUGGCGAGUGGGAGGUUUUGUCAAGACAUGGUUCCAAGAUCUGGGUCAAUGAACAGACGAAGCUGGUGUACUUCCAAGGCACUAAGGACACGCCCCUGGAGCACCACCUCUACGUGGUCAGCUACGAGUCUGCUGGCGAGAUCGUGCGGCUCACCACGCCUGGCUUCUCCCACAGCUGUUCCAUGAGUCAGAACUUCGACAUGUUUGUGAGUCACUACAGCAGCGUGAGCACGCCGCCCUGUGUGCACGUUUACAAGCUGAGCGGCCCUGACGACGACCCGCUGCACAAGCAGCCACGCUUCUGGGCCAGCAUGAUGGAGUCAGCCAACUGCCCCCCGGACUACGUGCCCCCUGAGAUCUUCCACUUCCACACCCGUGCCGAUGUGCAGCUCUACGGCAUGAUCUACAAGCCACACACCCUGCAGCCGGGAAGGAAGCACCCCACUGUGCUCUUCGUCUAUGGGGGCCCACAGGUGCAGCUGGUGAACAACUCCUUCAAGGGCAUCAAGUACCUGCGGCUGAACACACUGGCGUCCCUGGGCUACGCUGUGGUGGUGAUCGAUGGCCGGGGUUCCUGUCAACGGGGCCUGCGAUUUGAGGGGGCCCUGAAAAACCAGAUGGGCCAGGUGGAGAUUGAGGACCAGGUGGAAGGCUUGCAGUACGUGGCCGAGAAGUAUGGCUUCAUCGACCUCAGUCGUGUCGCCAUCCACGGCUGGUCCUACGGUGGCUUCCUCUCACUCAUGGGGCUCAUCCACAAACCACACGUGUUCAAGCCACCCCACGAGGCCGAGUCCCCCUCCUCAUUGCCUGCCACCACCGACCCCAGGAUGGCAUCCGCCAGCAGCUCUAUGUGGGAGGCCAAGCCCGGGACCCCGCCUCGGAGGGGCAGAGGUAGCCAUUGCGGGUGCUCCCGUCACUGUGUGGAUGGCCUAUGACACAGGGUACACGGAACGGUACAUGGAUGUCCCCGAGAACAACCAGCAAGGCUAUGAGGCAGGGUCGGUGGCCCUGCAUGUGGAGAAGCUGCCCAAUGAGCCUAACCGCCUGCUCAUCCUACAUGGCUUCCUAGAUGAAAAUGUCCACUUUUUCCACACAAACUUCCUCGUGUCCCAGCUGAUCCGGGCAGGGAAGCCGUACCAGCUCCAGAUCUACCCCAACGAGAGACACAGCAUCCGCUGCCCCGAGUCUGGGGAGCACUACGAGGUGACAUUGCUGCACUUCCUGCAGGAGCACCUCUGACCUCCAACCUCUGCCCUGAUGCCGCCGCUGCUUUUCUUGCAUUUUUUUAAUCUUUUAGUUUUUGAAGCUUUCGAUUUGUUUGCUUGCUGCUGCUUGGGGGCCAGGACAGAGGUGGUGGCCCCCAUGUGGCCCUCCUUGGGCUGGUUAGGAGGAGACCAUCACCGGGCCCACAGCCACAGGCGCUGCCAGGGUCCCAAACCUGCAGCACCACCCCAGUGCAGAAGCAUGUGCUGCCCCCUCACCCCCCCCCCCAGCAGAGUCGUGUGUGUUUGGGGAGCAUUUUAAAUAAUUAUUUAAAAGACAGGAAGCAAGCGGUACCGAAAUAUAAAAUUGGAGGUACGGCACUGGGCCGCUGGGACCCAACGCGCCCUCCCAAUUCCCAGGCUUUGUGGAGCUGCCAAGCCCUUGUCGGGGCCCCUUUUGCCCUGCCUGUCGUCUCUGCCCGACUUCUCCAGCACCACCCAGGAGUGCCAGGGUCGGGAGUAGGACCCAUCCUGACCUCAGGGGUGUAGCCCUUCCCAGCCCCCUCCCACCAGAGUUCGGGCAUAAAGUAAAAAGUUAAAAAAAACAAACAAAAAAACAAAAACAAAACAAAACAACAACAAAAAAAACCAAACCAGAAACCACCUCUACAUAUUAUGGAAAGAAAAUAUUUUUGUCAAUUCUUAUUCUUUUAUAAUUAUGUGGUAUGUAGACUCAUUAAACGAUUCCAGA